AAUACACUUGAGAAGCUUCUGCCUAAAACACGGAAGAUGGGAGUUUUAUAUCCAUCAUGUCCUGUCCUUGCCUGGUUAAAUGUGGGUGAGGUUGUACACGUGUGCCAGCUCAGCUGAACAGGCUGGGCAGAAGCUCAGAAGCCCUAAGAAAGCAAGCAAGAUCAAGGUGAGGAUCUCUGAGGCUAUCGCUUAUCCCCACGUGCCACAGAAAUAGUCAGAGAACAAAGUGGAUUUUCUACGUGGAUAAUGUGAGCCAUUUUCACGGGCAGAGGUCUCUCUUCUGUCACUGCCUCCUCUCUUCUGAGGAGAGUCCGCCCUAUGUUUUGGUUUUAAACAGUGAGCCUGGCUCCAAGCACCCAUCUCCGAUAAGAAUUAUUUCCUGCCAUUGCUCUGCAGAAUCCAAACUUCCAGCCACAUCUGCCUGUUUCCAAACUUGAAGUUCAGAAGACCAGAGAGUUCAGCAUCACUCAUUGCUUUAUGUCUCUUUUCAACCAAGUGCCAGUGGAUGCUCUUGUGUUGGAACAAGGCCAUGAUCUUCUUAAUAUUCUUUAUUUACAGCUUAUAUUUGUUUUCAUGAAGAAAAAAUUUAACACAUGAGUUCACAAAACUAAAUGAGCAGAAAUUCCCAUGAAACUUACCCCUUAAAUAUUAUUCAUAAUUAUCAAAUCUUUCCAAGGUUCCAAAAUCUUUGGUACAACAGGGCUUAAUGUAGCAUCAUAAUAUAGAGGAAAGAGCUCUGGUUCAAAUCUCAGUUUUAUCACUAAUUACACAGAUUACCUUACAAACCAGUCUCUGUCCUUAGUUAAGAUUAACACUUUUUCGGCCUUCAGUUUCCCAUCUGUGAAAUAAGAGUAGCAAUGUCUUUAGACCCCUAGUUAUUAUGUUAUUUAAAUGCUGUAAUUACAAAAUCUUUUAAUACUUAUGUCUCUUUUAGUAGUGCUUCAAUUGAAUAUCUGGAAACACAAAUUCACUUGAAAGGCAGGAAAAGCUGGCUUUUGGUGACUUUGUUGGAGAGGUACCCCCCACUCUGACCCACACUGAGGCUCCAUGGCCGUCCGUCCAGGCCCUCAGGUGUGCCAUCCUACAGAGCCAUCUGAACGAAAGCCAGGCAUUGUUGACUGCUGUCUUUAUAAACAUAAAGGAGACAGUCCAUGAGAAAGAGGCAAUAGAGUAUGUUUUUACAUUGCUAUUGUUAAAAACAUUUAACUGUAAAACAAGAUCCAAGGGUGAUUCCUAUUAGUCUAAAAUAAACAAGCAUCAGAUGAACCACUUCUGAAAAUUACCAUUAAUGGAUGAGAAACCUGAGAAGGUGCAUGCGCUGUGACAGUUAUGUCGUACUCUGUGUUGAUUUGGGUUUAAGAGGAUACUUAGAAUCUAGAUUCCACAAGGACUUGGUUAUAAGAAAAAGGAAUCAUUUUUUAAAUUAAUUUGAAGUGAAUUCGGAAACCCAAAUACAAUAUCAAGUAAUCAGCUAAAAUAUCAACAAGUUAUUGAACCAGCACAUUUGGCAAAUUGCAAGAAAAAUAUUUUAAAAAAAGAAAAAUAUCCAUUACCAAAGUCCAAGAGAAUGAAAGAUACAGUUAUUUUCUUUUUGUAAUUUACACCUCCAACCUUAAACUGAAAAGCAGCAUUACAGACACCUGCUUCAGUGCAGUCAUUGUUUCCAUGGUGCCACUUUCCACCACCUAUUUUUAAUAGUUUACACAACAAGAUCAAGGGUGUCCCAGCUGUUACUGCCACUGUUGCUAAGCAACCUUUAAAUCGGAGUUCAAGAAGACAAAGAAUCAUGCUUGAAAAAUGUCUCAAGUGUCUGUUUUAUGCACCCCCGUCCCUGCUUUCUUCAUUUUGCCCCAUUUUUCGAUGUUUAUACUCAGAUGCUUGUUUUUUUUCUUCUACAAUUCAAUAUUCUGUAUAUGAAUCCACCAUUCCAAGGGCUACAGGAAUCAACUAAAUAUUUUUUGUUGAUUUUCAAAAUGUAAUGUGUGUAUUCAACUACAGGCUACCUGUAACUCAAAAUAAACAGAUUUAAAGUAUUUGCUUUUUUUUAUUAAUCAGAAUGGGAGGUUGUUUUAGGUCUUCAUAAUCCGCUGCCAGACUGUAGCAUUGCUGUGCCUACGAGUCUUGUGAAACGACACAUAUAUCAAUGGCUAGAGAUCUGCUGCCUGCAGAGAAUGACAAUACCCUCUUUUGCC
ensembl:lncRNA